ACCACAUGUUCUGUUUCUCUGUAAAAUCCUAUAAACGUAGCUGCACCUGUUCAUUUUAUUAUCCCAGGCUUGAACAUUGUGGAGCAGUCCGCUUGGAAAGCUGUACCACAUUGCUAAUGCCUUCUCAGCAAUGCCUUAAAGAAGCAUACUGGAAGGCCUCUUUCGUUAACUUGCACACUAAUUAAGUUUGGGUCUUGGAUGGGAGGUGAUAGAGAUGGAAAUCCGAAUGUAACAGCAAAGGUAAGUUGUCUAAAAUUUUUUAUCUGUGAAAUUAAUUUAUCCUGCUUCUUUGUGAUAAUAUCUUCAACAUGUUUAUAAUUGUUCCUCUUCCAAAUGAUUUCCUUUGUAUGAGAUGAUAUCUUUCCCUUGAUUAAGCUUGCAUGGUGUAUAUUACUGACCUUCUGAAUGUAGAUGUAGUGUAUGGUCCUGUAGGAUCAUGGUUUGACAACAUACUAGAAACAUUGUAGAGAAGGCCCGUGUCAUUCUUUUGAACGGGAAUAUAUUGAAAAAGAAAACUGUCUGCACGCAAUUAAUUUCUGAAAUGUUCCCCUGAUAUUAACGAAGAGGCAUAGUGGAUCUUUUUCACCCUUUUAAGAGGAUUAGGAUUUAGGUGGUAGCCAACAAAUUUCAGUUGUGUGGAAAAUGGUUCCUACAUGCAUUAGUUGGGGUAAUUGGUGAGAAAAGAAUGAAAACAUUUUGAGGACUGUGAAUACAUGAUGGAGUAGUUGAAUACUUUCUUUCUCAACACUCUCCUCCUUUGACAGCUUCCAUAGGUUUUAAUGGGCUUAGUUACCAUGAUUUUCUUGUAUCUUUUUCUUUGUCUAUUUCUUGCUUGGCAACUUUCUUUUACACAUCUCAUGGUACUUGGAUUUUCCUUUUGCACUUACAAGGAAAAUCUUAUUGCUUAUCACAAAAUUAAUGGAGAAAACUGUAAUUUCUCCUUCCUUAUUUUGAUUAGUAAUGAUCUGAGCAGUUUUUGGAAUAGUUGGUAAUUCUCUACAUUAUUUUGAAGAGCUCUAUUUUUUUUAAUCAAUAAAAAAUUGUUUACCGAUUAAAAAAAAAAACUUUAAGAGCUUGUAUCUUUGUUUCACGUUUUAAAAUAUGUAGGUGGUGUAAAUAUCCUUUUUCUCUUCCAAUUUAAGAUGUGUAUACGUAUGCUGUCUCAUUUUAUUAUCAAUAUUGAUUUGCUUAAAGCAGACAUAACUGUUAGAACCAAUUCUCUACAUUAAUGUAAUGUUUGUGAUAUCUUGGAAAGUCACAUAACGUGGUGGAAGCUGUCUUUGUUAUUCUACGUUUUAAGAGUUUAAUUUGGGUGGUGUUCUGCUAAAGAAUUUUUUCCUUUAAAAUGUGCUAGCACAGAUUAUGAUACAAACCAAUGCUUCAAUUUCACUGUGCUUUUGCUACUGAAGUAGAUGAUGGCAUCAAGUGAUUUUCUUUCUAUUGCUUCAGGUCACAAAGGAUGUCUCUCUUGUAUCUAGGUGGAUGGCUAUUGAUUUGUACUCAAUGAGAUGCAAUUCUAUGUCAUCUGUAGAGAGUUAUACUGUGUUGUGAAUACAUAACUAUUUCAUUAAAGUUUUAUAUUGAUAGAAUUGAAAUAAUUAUGCACAAAAUCAUUUGCCAUGUUCUUAAGCUUUUUUUUUUUUUUCUCAACAUGUUCUUAAGCUAUUACAGUUUUAGUAUCAAUACCUUUGUGUUGUAUGUAAUGAAUACAUUUCUUAAUCAAGUUGUACUAUUUAGGCCUUGUUUUAAAAUUAAAAAAAAAAAAAAAAAAAACGCUAUAACCCGACCUGUUCAAUAAAUCCGUCCAGCCCGCCCCAUUAAAUAUGGGUUCAACUAAACAAUGGGUUGGAAAUCAUCCAACCUGCUGUUUAACUGGCGAAAGAGCAGCCCAAUGACUCCAUUCCAACUUCCAAAUCCUAGACCUCUCUCUCUCUCUCUCUCUCUCUCUCUCUCUCUCUCUCUCUCUCUCCCUGAUCAUGCAUGCAGAAAACCAAGUCUCUCCAUUUGAAGCUCACCAAGCAGUCGUUCCUUCGCAGCUCACCAUAGCAGUCCAACUCCAUCCACCGUCCACGAUUUAUCGCUCCGGUCCUCUGCCCUACAAGCUUUCCUGCAAGACGAGGCAAAAAUGAGUUUGAUCCAAAAUCAAGUUUUAUUUAUAUUGAUGAGGAGUGACUCAACGCUUAUAGUCUGCACAUGGUGGCCAUGUUAGCUGAUCCAAGAACAAUUCUAUUAUUGCUGUCAUUUUGUGUGCUUCACAAUUUGUAAAGAUUUACUGUAAUUGUAUUGUAUUAUUUUUUUCAUUUGUACUAUUUUUAUGAUAAUUAUAUGAGGUGGGUGAUAAAACUAUGAAAACAUUUCAAAAAAUGUUAAAAGCA